CGUGGCGGAUCGUGGUGGCGGGACGUUCUAAUGGGCCGUGGCGCCACCCCUAGAAGGGCGGGGCCUCUGCCUGCCUCCAGGGUGACCCGGAUGUACUGUCAUCGAAGACAAGGGCAUGCCGAGGGCAGUGGCAGAGAGCCAGAUUCCCAGGAUGAUGCCGGUAGCCCAGCGUGGGGUUCGGUGCAGCUGUGACCACACCGGGUGAAGAGUGAGAAGGUAACGGUCAACGCUGAUGGCCGAGAGGAAGAAAAUAGAGGCGAACAUCCCUGCUGACAAGGUGGCAUUGAAGACCUUGCACAUGGCAGUUCCAAAGCUCCAGUGAUUGUCCUGAAGCACCCACAGGUAGAGACCAUUGGUGAUGGUACCAAUUAUAACUGCCAUGCACAGCAGAAAGGCAAUGAUCACGUUUGAGGCAGGAACUGGAAAG